GAUAUGGCUCAGGACGAACGCUGGCGGCGUGCCUAACACAUGCAAGUCGAACGGAGAAUUUUAUUUCGGUAGAAUUCUUAGUGGCGAACGGGUGAGUAACGCGUAGGCAACCUACCCUUUAGACGGGGACAACAUUCCGAAAGGAGUGCUAAUACCGGAUGUGAUCAUCGUGCCGCAUGGCAGGAUGAAGAAAGAUGGCCUCUACAAGUAAGCUAUCGCUAAAGGAUGGGCCUGCGUCUGAUUAG
rnacentral:rRNA from 1 species